UAUACCGUGAAACUGCGAAUGGCUCAUUAAAUCAGUUAUCGUUUAUUUGAUAGUACCUUACUACUUGGAUAACCGUGGUAAUUCUAGAGCUAAUACAUGCUAAAAACCUCGACUUCGGAAGGGGUGUAUUUAUUAGAUAAAAAACCAAUGCCCUUCGGGGCUCACUGGUGAUUCAUAAUAACUUAACGAAUCGCAUGGCCUUGUGCCGGCGAUGGUUCAUUCAAAUUUCUGCCCUAUCAACUUUCGAUUGUUGGGUCUUGGCCAACAAUGGUUUCAACGGGUAACGGGGAAUUAGGGUUCUAUUCCGGAGAGGGAGCCUGAGAAACGGCUACCACAUCCAAGGAAGGCAGCAGGCGCGCAAAUUACCCAAUCCUGAUACAGGGAGGUAGUGACAAUAAAUACUGAUACAGGGCUCUUUUGGGUCUUGUAAUUGGAAUGAGUACAAUUUAAAUCCCUUAACGAGGAACAAUUGGAGGGCAAGUCUGGUGCCAGCAGCCGCGGUAAUUCCAGCUCCAAUAGCGUAUAUUAAAGUUGUUGCAGUUAAAAAGCUCGUAGUUGAACCUUGGGCCUGGCUGGCCGGUCCGCCUCACCGCGUGCACUGGUCCGGCCGGGCCUUUCCUCCUGGGGAGCCGCAUGCCCUUCACUGGGUGUGUCGGGGAACCAGGACUUUUACUUUGAAAAAAUUAGAGUGUUCAAAGCAGGCCUAUGCUCGAAUACAUUAGCAUGGAAUAAUAGAAUAGGACGUGUGGUUCUAUUUUGUUGGUUUCUAGGACCGCCGUAAUGAUUAAUAGGGACAGUUGGGGGCAUCAGUAUUUAAUUGUCAGAGGUGAAAUUCUUGGAUUUAUUAAAGACUAACUACUGCGAAAGCAUUUGCCAAAGAUGUUUUCAUUAAUCAGUGAACGAAAGUUAGGGGAUCGAAGACGAUCAGAUACCGUCGUAGUCUUAACCAUAAACUAUGCCGACUAGGGAUCGGGCGAUGUUAUCUUUUUGACUCGCUCGGCACCUUACGAGAAAUCAAAGUCUUUGGGUCUGGGGG
rnacentral:rRNA from 1 species